CAAUAGCGUAUAUUUAAGUUGUUGCAGUUAAAAAGCUCGUAGUUGGACUUUGGGUUGGGUCGGCCGGUCCGCCGUUUGGUGUGCACCGGUCGCCUCGUCCCUUCUGCCGGCGAUGCGCUCCUGUCCUUAAUUGGCCGGGUCGUGCCUCCGGCGUUGUUACUUUGAAGAAAUUAGAGUGCUCAAAGCAAGCCUACGCUCUGUAUACAUUAGCAUGGGAUAACAUCAUAGGAUUUCGGUCCUAUUACGUUGGCCUUCGGGAUCGGAGUAAUGAUUAAUAGGGACAGUCGGGGGCAUUAGUACUCACAUGCUAGAGGUGAAAUUCUUGGAUUUUGUGAAGACUAACUUCUGCGAAAGCAUUUGCCAAGGAUGUUUUCAUUAA
rnacentral:rRNA from 1 species